GGGCAGCUGUAACACCUCAAAAUUUGCCCUCCUCUCUUGGGACUAGCAUUAACAUAUUUGCAUUUAAUUUUAGGGCAUUAGGCAUUUCAUAUUGCAUAACAUGUGGUUACAUAGUGCAAGCCAUCUUCCCAAGUCUUAAUCAGGAGAUGAGGAAGUUCAAAGGUGCAAGCUAGGGUUCAAUGACUGAUCAUGGGCCAUCUGAGGAUUGGACUGUGAAUUAGGGUUUCAUGAUUUCCAAGGAUAGUGGUCUUCAUCUUGUUUGAAUUGAUACAUCAUCAUCAUCAUGGUUGGAUGUCAUCAGGAGAUUGGAGAAGAUUCCUUGAGAUUAGGGUUUUGACCACUGGUCAACCCUAAUCAGUUGUAUUGGGCCAAUCAGGGCUGGAUCAGGAGAUGGGGUUUAUGAAGGAGAUGAGGAUCAUUCUAUGAUUAUAUGGUGCUUAUUGAGGCUAGGGUGUCACCCUUGAGCCAUUUCAGUUGGAGAUUGGGGUUUAAAUUGAUCUAUGCAUUGCCAGAUUCAUCUAUCGGAUGAAAAGUCAACUGUGGUCAACUGUACAUGAUCUGAUGGAUUUGGAGGUGGAGAUGAGUUAGACACACUUCAUUCAUGUUGGAACAAGUGUUAAAUGACAUUGCAAAGCUUAAAACUGAAGAAAAUCAAGUCAGGACAAAAACUGCCAAAAAUAGCAAGUGACUUGUAAUUGAAGUUUCCAAAAAUGGAAGGUUUUUGACCUCAAAAACAGAAGUCCAAGGAAGCUUCAAAUGAAAAAUUGUUCAACAUGACAGAUGUAGAUCUUGUUCUCACCUUUCCAAAAAGUCCAAGAACUUGAAAAUCCGAUGUACGGUUUGCGAGAUAUGGCUCAUUGAAUUUCAGAAAAGACCGUAAUCAGGAGGCCAUAACUUCCACAUGGUUUGUCCAAAUUGCAAGUUCUUUAUAUGCACAAACUCCAUUUGACAUGUACUUUGAGGGUGCAUCAUUGGAUUUUCCCAAAAGUGGCCAAGGCAAAAAGUCACUUUUCAACUGGACAGCUGAAUUGGACCAGGGGCAAAAUCGUCCAAAUGUCAAAAUAUUGGGAAUUUUUGAAUGGGACUUUUUCCAACACCUCAGGAAUGGCAUUUAGAAUGUGUUUGAAUUUUCAUUUCAUGCAUAAGGCUUUUAAUUUGGAUUUUGUCUUGAAAAAUGGAAAUGACAAAAAUGGACCAAAUGCAUACAUAUGGUGAAUUUGAGAAUGGAGCAACCAAUGAGCAUGAAACAAGUUUCUACAGUUCACAUAUGAUAUUUAGAAGGUGUAUGUGCUGUCAAAACAGGUGGCGCUAGCUGUCAUGGUGAAAUUCCAAUUUUACCCUUCAUUUGGAAAAUGACAUUUUCACUUACAAUGCUAAUUUGGUUGAUUACACACUUAAGCAUGAUUAAGGCUACCAUAUAUAUUCAUAAUCUCUUGCUAAUCACAACAGAAUUCACACACUCCAAGAUUGGAUCUCAAAACCAUUCCAAUUCUCUCAACUUUUAUCAAGAACACAAAUCUUCAAAUUCAUCAAACUUCUUCAUUCUUCAACCAAUUUUCGAAAUUCUUUUUGCAUCGAACUCCAUUCAUCAUCAUCUCAAACUGUUUUUGGAAAUUGGAGCUUGAGGAGUAGUAAUUCGCAGCUGUCCAAAGUUCACUCUCCAAUGGAAAAUCAAGAAUUCGCACACUAGAAGCAACAUUAAUUGAACUUGAGCUUGGCAUUCAUCUUCCUGAAGCGUGUUCUACAUCUGUUUUCAUGAUUUGAAGCUCGAAGCUCGCGGAUUACUUGCCGUCAUCGAAAUAAGGUACUUUAGUUGCUCAGUUCCUUGUGAACUAUUGCUUUGCUUUGCUUAAGCAACUUGCAUUUGAGGUAUAACCUUCUUACUUCAUGUAGUCUGGAGACCCGGCUAUUACCGGGCCGGGCAAAUAAAUGUCUGAAGUCCUCCUUAAGAGGCAAUGCUUGUGUAUGUUUAUUUUUAAGCCCAAGCAGGAAAAGUCCUUCAAGUAAGGCAAUUGGUGGAAGGUAGGGACAAGCAACCUGUCCCCCACUAUUCAGUGAGUCUUCUCCUUGCUCCCAUUACAUGGUUGUAGCAUUGAGAUCAAAAGCCCAAGAUCCUGUGCAGUGCACAUUGAGUCAGAGUCAUCGAGUAUAGAAGGGUUCCCCUAUUCUGGACCCAUGCUCAUUUGUCAGCUCUCCCUGGUUAGGGAUAUGAGCUGUGAGGUCUGAUCCUCACUUCAUCCUUUCAUCUGCUUCACCUUAGCCUCGUAAUGGCAAGGUUAAGAGCAAACACAGCCCGUACAGACGACUUGCUUAGGCAGUCAAACCUGAUUGAUUGAGCCCCUUGUUUGGCUAUAGUGCGUGUUAUGUGGAUAUCUAAUUGACAUGCUUGUUUGAGAUACCUGUUCUCAUUUGAUGAUGUAUGAUUGUAUGCUUGUGUGCUAGCUUCUUUCCUGGUUAGGAUAGGCUUGUUUAUGCAAGUAGGAUAGAAAACCGAACUUAGGGUUAACGAUGCAUGACAACAUUAGGCUCGAGUCUCAGCUCCCUAGUUGUGUAUCUUUCCCCGGUUUCUGGUUAGCAAUUUAGUCCCUUUCAGGGGAACUACAUCGCCCUGAUCCUCGUUCCAGACGAGGUAUGUAGGCAGGUGGUCGUGCGAGACCACUCCGGGCAACCUUUUUCUUUUUUGUGUGCGUUAACUUGUUAUCUGAUUGUGUGUUUUGGCUCGGAUGCCGACGUAAGCCCAGUGAUUGGCAGUCGGGCUCCACGUUUGCCGUUUUGUACAUAUUUUGGUUCGGAUGCCGACGUAAUUCCAUCCAGUGGUUGUCGGGCUCCAUGUUUGCCACCCUUGCU